CUCACCAUCACCGCUGUUAAAGAUGCCACUGAUGACUAUGUGAGUUCUUUCAUUUUUUAUUCUGCCACCCCGAGCACACAGUCACCUUCGCCCAGCACAAUUCCUUGGUGACCUAGACAUCCUUUACCUGGUCCCACUUGGUCCAUGAUAAUGUGGCUAAGGGUGAGGAGGGGAGUCAGGAAGAGAUGGUCUAUGAAUAGGUGUGUGGAAGGUGUUGCCCAGCAUGCUCUGAGUUCCCCUGAUGGAGCCAGAGUCUCCUGUUCUUUGGAUCAGGAGAAGGUGUCUCACCUUUUUCAGUUCUCUUCUUUUCAGUUCCGCCACAAGAGUGAUAACCAGGUGAAUAACCGCCAGUCUCAGGUGCUGAUCAAUGGAAUGUGAGUGCCUUUUGGGAACAAGGGCCCUGGGGACAAAGCGGGAAAGGCCCUGGAAACCUCUGUAGCUACUGACAGCCUUUUUACUGUCUUGUUGCCGCAGCCUCCAGCAAGAGCAGUGGAUGAAUGUUUGUGUUGGUGAUAUCAUCAAGCUAGAAAACAACCAGUUUGUGGCGGUAAGGGAAAAGUGGCCGCUCUAGGCCUACAGGGCUCACCUUCCUCUUUAGCAGAAAGGGAUGAGUCCUUCCUGAUUCCGUUUGCCUUUUAAACACCCAUGGAAGGAGACUGUCUUGGGUGGAGGGCUUAAUAUGCCUGGGACCUGCUGUUAAUGUGCUUGGAACUAGGAAGGAUGCUCGGCGGGGGGGGGGGGGGGGGUGUGAGGUGGGGAGGAGGAUCCUUGCAGAGCCUGCUGCAGGUGGAGACCUGCGUAUCUGGACUUCUCAUUAGGGCUUCUUUCCAGGCGGAUCUCCUCCUCCUCUCCAGCAGUGAGCCCCAUGGGCUGUGUUACAUAGAGACGGCAGAACUCGAUGGGUAAGUGGCAUGCUCAAGGGUCAGUCCUUUUACUUCCUUUUUAGGGGUGAAAAGAUUGUUUUUGAAAGUGGGUCUCAGGCCUGGGCUUAUACCUUUUGGAAAAUUUAGGGGUAAGAAAGACUUUGGAGCCAGGUAUGGUGGCACAUGCCUGUGAUCUCAGAGACUCGGGAGGCUGAGGCAGGAGGAUGGAAUGUUUGAGACUAGCCUGGGCAACUUAGUGACACCCUGUCUCAAAAAAAAAAAAAAAAAAAAUUAGAAAGGGCUGGGGACGUAGGUCUGUGGUAGAGCACCCGUGGGUUCAAUCCCCAGUACGGGGGUGGGGUGGAGGGGAGAACGCUUUGGGAUACGUAGUAUUUGCUGUGCUGAGAAGUGGGAUGCCCGUGGUCAGGUGCUCCCAAGCAGGCUACUGGGUGGGUAGGGAGCCGGGACUCAAGGGAACUGUCCUUCUAGAGAGACCAAUAUGAAAGUGCGCCAGGCAAUUCCAGUCACCUCAGAACUGGGAGACAUCAGUAAGCUUGCCAAGUUUGAUGGUGAGUAAUCUUGGAGAAGCAGUCUUCAGGUAAAAGAGGUGGGUUGGGUUUUAGAAUUUAAAUUGUACCUUUUCCUUUUGGCUUCUGGUUGCUGUGAUUAUGCAACUCCUUGGAUUUGGGGGUGGGGGUGCUGGGAAUGCCAAGUGGUUGCAACUUGAUGAUCAUUUCAAGGAAGCCUUGAGACUGAUAGCUCCCCACUUGCUGUGCAUCUUGAGAGAAAUUCAGCUUAUACUGUUUGGGUGUUAGCUCAGAAUAAUGAUAUGUGCUCCUUAUAACAAGACAGACUGCCAGGCAUGGUGGCACGUGUCUGUAAUCCCAGCAAUUUGGGAGGCUCAGGCAGAAGGAUUACAAGUUUGAGGCCAGCCUCAGCAACUUAGUGAGACCCUUAGCAACUUAGUGACACUCUGUCAUAAAAUAAAGAAUAAAAAAGACUGCAGAUGUAGCUCAGUGGUAGGGUACAUCUGUGUUCAAUCCUAGUAACACAUACACAAAGACAACUAUACAGAGUGUAUAAGAAAGUUUAUGGUCACUCCUGCCCUUCUUAGAUGACCAUGUUAAUUAACAGUCAGUCCUGUUAGUAUAGUAAUCUACAUUUUUACAUAUGUUUGUAUACAUAAAAAUAAAAAAUGCAAUUCUUUUGUACUGAAGUUUCUACCUUUUUUGCUUAUUAAAUAUGUCAUAAGCAUCUUAUCAUCUGUAUAAAGAAUUUUACCUUUUUCUCUUUAGUAGCUGCAUGAUAUUUCAUAGAAUUGUUGUGUCACCAGAGCCAGCCUGGGCAACUUAGAGAAGACCUUAGUAUAGAGCACUUGCCUAGCUAUGUUCAAGGCCCUGGAUUCAGUCCCUAGCACCGAAAAAAAACCUGAUGUAUCAUAAUUUAUUCAUCUACUCCUGUCCAUUCAGUGGUUUCCAGUCUUUUGCUGUCCUGAUAAUGCUUCAAUAAAGGAUAUCAUGCUCUAUUUAGUAGGAUAGAGUGAGUGACCAAAUUGGAAUUACUGAGUCCAAGCUUAUAUGUACUUUUUUUUUUUUUUAACCCAGGGAAACUUAACCACUGAACCACAUCACCACCCUUUUUUUUAAUAUUUUAUUUAGAGACAGGGUCUUGCUAAGUUGCUUAGGGACUCACUAAGUUGCUGAGGCUGGGUUUGAACUUGCGAUCCUCCUAUCUCAGCCUUCAGAGCUAUUGGGAUCACAGGCAUGUGCCACUGCACCCGGCAUAUGUAUGUACUUUUAAUAUUAGUAUAUGCUGUCUCAUUCUUUUUCUGAAAAGUGACAUCAGCUCACACUCUUGCCAGCAGUAUGCAAAUGGGUCCCUGUCCUUACUCUUUCUCCUUUAGCUACUUUUUCUCUCUGUUUUAUUGUCAUGUGAUCGAAUUGUAAACUAGAGCUUGAGCCGUGUUACUCUUAUUUACCGUCCAGGUGAAGUGAUCUGCGAACCUCCCAACAACAAGCUGGACAAAUUCAGUGGAACCCUCUACUGGAAGGAAAGCAAGUUCCCCCUGAGCAACCAGAACAUGCUGUUGCGGGGCUGUGUGCUACGAAACACCGAGUGGUGCUUCGGGCUGGUCAUCUUUGCAGGUGAGCCUUCUAGCAUCCAAAGGAAGAAUGUGACUCAGCCCUCCCUCAGGAGUAUGGGUUGAAACUGGGUGGGUUGGCAGAGUGCAUAAGGUACAAAACCUCCAGCCCUGAAUACAAGUCUCUUGUCCACCUAGUGUCUCCAUUCCAUCCUGAUGUACUACCUCUGGAGAUCAGAGCAGAAAUUCAGAGACAGUUUUGUUAUUUGGCUUCCCAUUCUUUUCUAGGUCCUGACACUAAGCUGAUGCAGAACAGCGGUAGAACAAAGUUCAAGAGAACAAGUAUUGAUCGCCUAAUGAAUACACUGGUGCUCUGGGUAAAAUCCCACAUAUAUUUCCCUCUCUGCCCUUUUGGUUCUCCCUGGGUGGUUUCCUUGGCUUCCAUUGCUCUUCCCUGGUCAAUAGUCAGGCUUUGGAUUUGGUUUUAAAGUCACUGCAGGUUAGCUACUCAAAGGCAAUGUUUAUUUCAGGUUUCUUUUAGACCUGGAAGAUGUUUUUUUAAAAAACCUUAGGAACGUGCAUGAAUCAACAACUUAAAGCUAAAACAAUCGUCCCUUCUCUGGAUCCCAGUUAUGAUGAUGAUGACUUAGUGCAUCAUGUGACCUUCUGUUUACCUUUGCCAGAGACAAGGAGGCCUUCAUGAGGAUGGAGAGGGAAUUAAAAGAAAAAAUUUCCACUUGGAAGUUGGUUAGCAGGGUCUUUCCCCCCAAACUUAUAAGGAUGAAGAAUCCCAAAGGAAAAGUUUCUGUUUUCAUUUUUGGCAAUUCCUGAGUCCUUCUCUUGUUUAGCUAGAAAUCUGAGCUCCUUGUUAAACAUUGCUCCCUUCUUGCACCCUCCUGCCUGCUGCCUGCCCCCCACAUGCCAGCUUGCAAAGCCUGGGGCCACCCUGGUUUUAAAGGGCUUGCAAAAUUCCAGUUUGAGGGAGCUCCAGGGCAGAUUUUGCCUGUAGAGGCUCACAUGGCCCCCUGGUGGUCGUUGGGCACCAGGAUAGUUCCUGUUUUAUUUCAAACUCAAUGGUGAAGAUGGCUUUGGAAAUAACUGUCAGAGAGAAAAAAGAAAAAAGUAAAUAGAUAUCAGAAACCAGACAUGGAUUUUGGUUAUUUUUCCUCUCUCUCUCUCUCUCUCUCUUUUAUAUACGUUCAUUUUAUUUAUUUUUAUGUGGUGCUGAGGAUGGAACCCAAGGUCUUGCAUGUGCGAGGCGAGCGCUCUACUGCUGAGCCACAGCCCAGCCCUUGGUUAUUCUCUUAUAAUCACCAGACUUUCUUAUGAUCCUUCAUCAAGGACUCCAAGCUGUUUUGAUUAAUCAAGAAAUCUGGAGUUAUCAAGAUACAGUUUGUUUCCCUGGUUUGUUUUAUUUAUUAAUGGGCACUGGGGAUCAAACCAAGGGGUACUUUACCACUGAGCUACAUCCCAAGCCCUUUUUAUUUUUUAUUUUAAGAGUCUCGCUAAGUUUUUUGGAGCCUUGAUAAAUUGCAGAAGCUGGCCUCGAAUUUUUGAUCCUUCUGCCUCAGCCUCCCAAGUUGCUGGUAUUACAGGCAUGUGCCACUAUGCCCAGCUUCUGUUUCCCUGGUUUAAAAAAAAAAAAAAUGGGCUGGAGUUGUGGCUCAGCAGUAGAGCGCUCGCCUAGCACACAUGAGGUGCUGGGGUUCGGUCCUCAGCACCACAUAAAAAUGAAUAAAUAAAAUAAAGGUAUUGUGUCCACAUGCAACUAAAAAAAUAUUUAAAAAAAAAUAACAGUCUGUAUAAAAUAGACAUUAUAAGGGCUAGAGGGCUGGCUCAGUGAUAGAGCACUUGCCUAGCAUAUGCGAGGUUCUGGGUUCAAUCCUCAGCACUGCAAAAAAAAAAAUAAGUAAACAUAUAUACAGGCAUAUAUAUACUAUAUUUUAUAUAUAUAUACACCUACGUGUGUGUGUGUGUGUAUAUAUAUAUAUAUAUGUGUAUAUAUAUAUAUAUAUAUAUAUAUAUAUAUAUAUAUAUAUAUAUAUAUAUAAUAGUAACUUGGCAUUUUUGUUGGUUUGUGAAGGCUUAGCCCAGGUAAAUGGGUAAUUUGCACUAAGUGUUUUUGGUGUGUGAAAUGUAGUUCACCCCACUCACCAACCUUAAAGACUCCUGAUUGGGAGCAAUUUCUCUAUUUCAGCUUCCCCACUGUAUACAUGAGGAAAUGUUCAGAGAGGGCCAUGUGGUGGUCAGUGGCAGACCAGAGCCAGUUCUGAGCUCAUUCCAAUAGAUCAUUCUAAUAAUUCAAAUAUGCCUAUGAUUUUUAGGGCUCAGGCCUGAAUAGGAACUUCCUUCAUGGGGACAUUUGUUUUCUAAGUCUCUGAUUAGUUUCUGUUUCUCAUUCCUCAGAUUUUUGGAUUCCUGGUCUGCAUGGGGGUGAUCCUGGCCAUUGGCAAUGCCAUCUGGGAACAUGAAGUUGGGACACGCUUCCAGGUCUACCUGCCCUGGGAUGAAGCGGUGGACAGUGCCUUUUUCUCUGGCUUCCUCUCCUUCUGGUCCUACAUCAUCAUCCUUAACACCGUUGUGCCCAUUUCACUAUAUGUCAGGUAUGUUGUUCUCUGCUCUAGGUUCUGUCCAGGGAGCCCAGUGGUCCUUUGAUAAACUUUUCUGUAAAUAUCCAAUCAUUGAGAAGGAACAUGAAAUCCUUUUCUUCUGUACUGUGAGCAUUUUGUGUUGUCUUUUUAUCUUUGUGUACAAAGUAGACUUUUUACCAGUUUCCUGGCACUGGGAGUGUAUUAGAGCAAAACCCUUGAGCAUAUAUUUAGCAUAUGUGUAAUGCAUGCACUAUGUGCAAAGAAGCGAGGUAGGCACUGUAGCACAUAGAAAUUGGAAUGGAUCUCCUUUACUCUAGGAGCUUAGGUCCAAAAGAACAAGAAAAAUCUAAACACAUUAUAAAAAAAAAAUUGGGACUAAGUCCUGUAGAAGUCAUUCUAUCCUCAGCAUUACAUAACACUGAGAUGUGUCAGAUGGCCUGUGCCUUCAAAAGCAGUAGCCUGGCGGUGGGGAGUCGGAACCUGGUCAGACACUGAUACACCAUGCAGGAGGCAUCAGGUGCCCAAGGUGGGGACGAGCCCUGCUCCUCAGGCAGGAAAUUAGGGAAAACAUCUCAGAAGAGAUGAGUGAAGGUGGAAUUGGAAAAGAGAGGAGGAGAAAGGGCUAGGAACAAUGGCAAGGAAGUGGGCACUGGGAAUGGCCUUGGGACAGCAGAGAGUAGGGACGGUGAGUGAGGAGCUGUGGGAGAGAGACCCGGAAACAACGGCUCACUCCUGACUGUGAAGGGUCUUCAAUCUUGGCCUGUGGCCUUGGACUUCAUAAACCAUUAUAAGGUCUUUGGAAAAAUGAAUAAACAACAAAAAAAGAAGUCAUUUGAAAAAUAAAUUCUAAAAAAACCUAAAGCAGCUUUGGGCAGUGGAGUGCAGCAUGUGUCGGGUCAGGGGCCCAGGCAGGGUGCUUGGAUGCUUGAGGUAAAGAGAGUGUCACAGGGACAGGCCAGUAAGAGUGGAAGGAGGAGGGGGCUGGGAGAGGUGAAAGGAAGAAUCCAGGAGAAAGAAACUUUCCUACCGUGUACCUUGUAUUUGAGAUAAGGGGGCCUGUGACAUUUUAUAGGAAAUUCUUUGUGGAGGUAUUCAGAAUCUUCCUGUCUCCUGUGUUUAAUUGACAGUUUCCUCAAGUAGUCCUCAAUUCUCCUACUGGCCCAAAGUCCUAGGAUUGAUUAUGAUGAAUAGAAGAUGAAGCAUUUCUUUGCCAAGAAAGUACAGUUUGGGCUUUUUUCGAGCACAGAGAGGAGAGUCAGAAGGUUCUUGGUUUAGUCCUGCCUGCUCGACUAGAUUUGACAUAUGACCACAGUCACUUGAGGCUUUCUGGGACUUCUGGUUUCUCCUGUAAAAUGGGACCCCUGUUUCAUCUUCCUCACAGGGAUGUUUUGACGUAAGACACUAGUUUGGAAAACACAGGUUAUAGCUGGACACGGUGGUGCACGCCUAUAAUCUCAGUGACUGUGGAGUCUGAGGCAGAGGAAUUGCAAAUCCGAGGCCAGCCUGGGGACUUAGCAAGAUCCCGGGUUAAAACAAAAAAUAAAAAGGGGGGUUGCGGUUGUAGUUCAGUGGUAAGAGUGCUUGCCUUUUGUGUGUGAGGCACUGGGUUUGAUCCUCAGCAUCACAUAAAACAAACAAAUAAAUAAAAUAAAGGUAUGUGUCCAUCUACAAUUAAAAAAAAAAUUAAAAAAAUAAAAAGGGCUGAGGAAUGUAGUUCAUGGGUGUCCCUAGGUUUGAUCCCUAGUACCCUCCACCCAGAAAAAAAAAAUCACUAUACAAAUAUUGGAUGGUGUAUAUCUGUUAUCAUUGCAACUCUGGUUCUACAUUAUUAUUUAUUUAAAUGUUUUUUCCCUUAAAACCUAAUUUUGUUUUCUUUUCUUUGGGCUUUCUUGUCCCUGUUUUGUAUCUAAGUCUAUUUGAAGCCCUUGGGAGCUGCCUGAGGAAGUUUUCUAAGUCCCAUCAAGUUAUAGUAUGUCUUGGGGUGGGGUGGAGGAAGGGUUAUAAGCUGCAUGGGGAAAAGAUUAUGAUGAUAUUUCCAGCUACCUCAGUUUUUACCUGGUAAUAGGGUCCUGAUAGGAGCUUCUGUCAGGUCAGAAGCAAAGUUCCCGAUAAGCCCAUUGCUGCACCUCUGGACCUAAACACAGGGCCCUUUCUGGAAAUACUGUGAGCCCCUAUCCAAAGAAGACGAGGAGCUGCCUAAGCAAAGGAGAGGAUGGGGACUGUCAGAAGUCCCAUCCCCUGUAACUCGGCACUGUCCCCUACGUUAUUGCAACCCCUCUCCCUUCUGGAGUCAGCCCCUCAGCUUUGCCACAGAGUUGGGGUGUGGGGCCCAGGUGGAGGGAGAACGCUCCGUGUGCUGGGGCAGCAAGGAGCGAGUGGGCCGUGCUGCGUCUCGGUUUUCGUUCCCAGCCUGGCCCCUUGGAGGUGGCGCUCUCGCCUUGGCGCGCACAGCACCCUCAUUAUCUCUCUCUUUUCUCUCUCCCUUCCCUCUCGCACUUUCUCUUGUUUUUUUCUGCGUGGUUUCUGUAUUAUUAGCCCCGAGGUAAGAACUGGUUGAGUGCCUUGUCUGCAGUCCUUUCCUCCCUCCACCGUGCGCUCUGUCCUGCCUGCCCAGGCCUGUUGCACCUUCUUGUCUAGAGAGUGUCAGGAGGGGCGGGUUGGGGAGUACUUUGCUGGCUGUACCUGGCUGGCUCACCUGCAGGCUCUCCCUGCCCCUUCCCACCCAGGUUCCUGUGCCCAGGUGUCUUCUCCGUUCUCGUUUCUCCCCAGAUGGAGGGCCUGCAGCGAAGGCCCAUGUGGGUGGGGCACCUCUUCCCCUUCUCGCACCAAGCCUCACCUCCUGUCCUCUGUGUAGUGUGGAGGUCAUCCGUCUGGGUCACAGCUACUUCAUCAACUGGGACAAGAAGAUGUUCUGCAUGAAGAAGCGGACACCCGCUGAGGCCCGCACCACCACCCUCAAUGAGGAGCUAGGCCAGGUGGAGUACAUUUUCUCCGACAAGACUGGCACCCUCACCCAGAACAUCAUGGUUUUCAACAAGUGCUCCAUCAACGGCCGCAGCUACGGUAUGGCGGUGCCGCGAGGGUUGGGCUGCACAUCUCGCUUGGAAAGAGAAUGGAACCAGGGCUCUUAUAGUUGUCUGACAUUGGACUUUGCUUCUUUGCUAUUUGGGUCCGAGAGUCCUUGAGAGGGUCUGUUCUGUAUCCCGUGCCAGGAAGCAGAUCCUGAGUCUUUUCCUCGUCCUCACUUGGUACCCUUGCCUGGUCUCAGCUCCAGGCACUAGGGGAGCUCCUUGGAUGUUUAGAGUGAGGCCCAGACACUGCCCUCUGGUCAUCCUGGCCAGGUUGGACCUUGGCUGACCCAGUGGAAUUCUAGACUCACCCAUGUUGCUUGUCAUAAGGGCCCUGUGAGUCUCUGGAGUGUGCCCAUGGUCUUCCCAGUGUGGCCCUGUCCAGUGGCCUUGUGGCUGAACUGCUGGGGUGGCUGGGGCAGGGGGUGUGGGGGCUGGCCUUUGUACGGGGUCAGCCCCUGCUGUGACUGCUUCUGUACUAACCUAGACCUGUGCCUAGUGGGUGAGGCUUCGUCUGCUGUGCAGGCCUACAGGGUGCCCAGGAGCCCUGGCUGGUGCAGGUGAAGAAUUGGAACUGCCCUGAGGGGACAGCUGCUGGGAGGUAGUGGGGACAGGAAUGGUGAGCGGUGGAUCCCACGACACUCUUAUGGCCACAGUUCUGGAUUCUGGCACCCAGGACGCCUAUUGCCUACUGUCCCUUGUGUCAGUGGUGUGUGAGUGAUAUCUGCUCAAUGACCAGGCUGAGGGUUCCCAGUGCUUGCAGGGAUCUGUAUUAGAG
rnacentral:lncRNA from 1 species